GAGGAUAUAGCUCAGUGGUAGAGCACAUGCUAAGCAUACAUGAGGUCCUGGGUUCAAUCCCCAGUACCUCCA
rnacentral:tRNA from 1 species